rnacentral:rRNA from 1 species
AAAUUAGGACUAGAAUCAAAGGCAUCACGAGGGCCUCACUGUCUCCUUUUUCCAAUCAGUGAAACUGAUCUCCCCGUGAAGAAGCGGGGAUAACCUUAUAAGACGAGAAGACCCCAUGGAGCUUCAAACUCAACAGCUACCCCAUUCAAACUACACGAUAAUUUAAGGGAUUUAGCUAUUAGUUUUGGGUUGGGGUGACCACGGAGAAUAGCAAAACCUCCGCAAUGAAAGAAUUAAAAUUCUUAUCCAAGAGCAACACCUCUAAGAAUUAACAAAUUAACACACAGUGAUCCGAUAUCUUUCGAUCAAUGAACCAAGUUACCCUGGGGAUAACAGCGCCAUCCACUUUGAGAGUUCAUAUCGACAAGUGGGUUUACGACCUCGAUGUUGGAUCAGGGUAUCCCAGUGGUGCAGCCGCUACUAAAGGUUCGUUUGUUCAACGAUUAAAACCCUACGU